rnacentral:rRNA from 1 species
GACGAACGCUGGCGGCGUGCUUAACACAUGCAAGUCGAACGGAAAGGCCCUGCUUUUGUGGGGUGCUCGAGUGGCGAACGGGUGAGUAACACGUGAGUAACCUGACCUUGACUUUGGGAUAACUUCAAGAAACUGGGGCUAAUACCGGAUAGGAGCUCCUGCUGCAUGGGGGGGGUUGGAGAGUUACGGCGGUGGGGGAGGGGCUCGCGGCUUACGAGCUGGUGGGUGGGGGAGUGGCUUACCAAGGCUUUGACGGGUAGCCGGCCGGACGGGGUGACCGGCCACCUUGGGACUGCGGUACGGCCCAGAAUCCUACGGGAGGCAGCAGUGGGGAAUAUUGCACAAUGGGCGGAAGCCGGAUGCAGCAGCGCCGCGUGCGGGAUGACGGCCUUCGGGUUGUAAACCGCUUCCGCCUGUGACGAAGCGUGAGUGACGGUAAUGGGUAAAGAAGCACCGGCUAACUACGUG